GCGCCCGUAGCUCAGUUGGAAGAGCACCGGCCUUCUAAGCCGAUGGUCGCAGGUUCGAGCCCUGCCGGGCGUGCCA
rnacentral:tRNA from 1 species